rnacentral:rRNA from 1 species
GUGGGGAAUCUUCCGCAAUGGACGAAAGUCUGACGGAGCAACGCCGCGUGAGUGAAGAAGGUUUUCGGAUCGUAAAGCUCUUUCGUUAGGGACGAACGUGCUCCUUGUGAAUAAUGAGGAGUAAUGACGGUACCUAAAUAAGAAGCCACGGCUAACUACGUGCCAGCAGCCGCGGUAAUACGUAGGUGGCAAGCGUUGUCCGGAAUUAUUGGGCGUAAAGCGCGCGCAGGCGGGAUAUCAAGUCUGUCUUAAAAGUGCGAGGCUCAACCUCGUGAGGGGACAGAAACUGGUAUUCUUGAGUGUCGGAGAGGAAAGUGGAAUUCCAAGUGUAGCGGUGAAAUGCGUAGAGAUUUGGAAGAACACCAGUGGCGAAGGCGACUUUCUGGACGAUGUCUGACGCUGAGGCGCGAAAGCUAGGGGAGCGAACGGGAUUAGAUACCCCAGUAGUCC